rnacentral:rRNA from 1 species
GGCCUUUUGAAUUUAAUAUAAGGUCUGACCUGCCCAGUGAUAGUUUUAACGGCCGCGGUAUACUGACCGUGCAAAGGUAGCAUAAUCAUUAGUCUUUUAAUAGAGGGCUGGAAUGAAAGGUUUCACGAGGAACUAACUGUCUCAUUUUAUUUGUUUUAAAAUUUAAUUUUUUAGUUAAAAAGCUAAAAUUUUAUUGGUAGACGAGAAGACCCUAUAGAGCUUUACAUAUAAUUAAAUAAAUAUUUUUAUAUUAAUAUUUUUAUUUAUUUUUGUGUUUUGUUGGGGUGACAAAAAUAUAUAACUAACUUUUUUAUUUACUUUACAUUGAUUUAUGAAUAUUAGAUCCAAUAUUAUUGAUUAUUAGACUAAGUUACCUUAGGGAUAACAGCGUAAUCCUCCUCCAGAGUUCAUAUUUACAGGAUGGGCUUGCGACCUCGAUGUUGGAUUAAGAUAAUAAUUAGGUGUAGCCGCUUAAUUGAUAGGUCUGUUCGACCUUUAAAUUCUU